UCUGCCUAGUAGUGGGGGAUAACUUGCCGAAAGGUAAGCUAAUACCGCAUACGUCCUACGGGAGAAAGCAGGGGGACCUUCGGGCCUUGCGCUAUUAGAUGAGCCUAGGUCGGGAUUAGUUAGUUGGUGAGGUAAUGGGCUCACCCAAGACAGCGAUCCGUAACUGGUCUGAGAGGAUGAUCAGUCACACUGGAACUGAGACCCGGUCCAGACUCUACCGGGAGCCAGCAGUGGGGAAUAUUGGACAAUGGGGGGGAACCCUGAUCCAGCCAUCCCGCGUGUGUGAAGAAGUUCUUAGGAUGUAAAGCCACUUUAAGUUGGGAGGAAGGCCAGUUAACUAAUAUUUGACUGUUUUGACGUUACCGACAGAAUAAGCACCGGCUAACUUCGUGCCAGCAGCCGCGGUAAUACGAAGGGUGCAAGCGUUAAUCGGAAUUACUGGGCGUAAAGCGCGCGUAGGUGGUUCGUUAAGUUAGGAGUGAAAGCCCCGGGCUCAACCUGGGAAUUGCUUCUAAAACUGGCGGGCUAGAGUAUGGUAGAGGGUGGUGGAAUUUCCUGUGUAGCGGUGAAAUGCGUAGAUAUAGGAAGGAACAUCAGUGGCGAAGGCGACCACCUGGACUGAUACUGACACUGAGAUGCGAAAGCGUGGGGAGCAAACAGGAUUAGAUACCCUGGUAGUCCACGCCGUAAACGAUGUCAACUA
rnacentral:rRNA from 1 species